UGGGGAAUAUUGCACAAUGGGGGAAACCCUGAUGCAGCGACGCCGCGUGAACGAAGAAGGUAUUCGUAUCGUAAAGUUCUGUCCUAUGGGAAGAUAAUGACAGUACCAUAGAAGAAAGCUCCGGCUAAAUACGUGCCAGCAGCCGCGGUAAUACGUAUGGAGCGAGCGUUGUCCGGAAUUAUUGGGCGUAAAGGGUACGCAGGCGGUUUAAUAAGUCGAAUGUUAAAGAUCGGGGCUCAACCCCGUUAAGCAUUGGAAACUGAUAAACUUGAGUAGUGGAGAGGAAAGUGGAAUUCCUAGUGUAGUGGUGAAAUACGUAGAUAUUAGGAGGAAUACCAGUAGCGAAGGCGACUUUCUGGACACAAACUGACGCUGAGGUACGAAAGCGUGGGGAGCAAACAGG
rnacentral:rRNA from 1 species